rnacentral:lncRNA from 1 species
AUGGGCGUCCCUGCGCCUCCGCUGAGAGUCCUGAGGGCGGGCACAGGAAGUGGGCAUGGCUGCGGAGGAGCCAGGGGAGCCAGACUCGGCUCCAACUGCCUGGUCUUGUUCUCCCUCGGCCCAGUCAAGGGAGCAGAUUCGGAGUGUGCUCCCACUCUUGUGUCUGUGCCGUCGCGUUCAUCCCAGCAGCAGACAGAGCCUGUCCUGGAACACAGCCCGGAAAGCAGCACACGUCUUCCUUCCAAAAGCAGUACUGGCACCGUCGGGCCCACAGCCACGAGGACCAUCCAAUUAAAAGUAAUCACCGCUGUGUCUCGCACCUGCCUUUUGACGGCUGCUCGCCCAGAACGCCGCUGUUGGUUGAGCCCGGCCUCGUUUUCACAGCUGCUGGGAUGCGUUUUGGAGCUGGGAGGUCUGGAGGAGACGGUAUGAAUCCACACCUGGGCCUGCGGGGGUCAGGGCCAGGGCAGGCGCGGGCCAGGGGCUCGAGGUGAUCAGGUUUCUAUGGAGCGCGCGUCAGGGCCGUGGUGCAGUGGAGAGGGAGCGAGGAGGACUGACGCUCCUGCUCUGGCUACUGUGCCCCAGAGUGCUUAUGGACUGCCUGUGGGGGAGGGAGGGGCCAGCCCAGCCAGCCAUAAACACGUCUCUCACUGCUGCCUGUGCAGACCGGGAUGGAGACGGGGCACACCUGCCCACGGGAACGCUUGCACGCCUAUCGGCAGAGACAGUGGAAUGAGAAGAGCAAGCACUACCAUCAGACAACAGGUUCGGAUCCCAGCUCUGCCCACAUUAGCUGUGUGACAUUAGGCUGGUAACUUAAUCCCUCUGAAGGCUGAUCUACCGGCCUGUACAGUCUGCCCGAUCAUGCCUUCCUGCAGACUGAAUGGCAUCAUCAUAAAAUCUUUAGAAGAGGAUCUGAAUGCUAGAUGAUCAGUGAACACAAUUUUGAUUAUGUUCAUGGGUUUCUGUAGCUUUCAGUUAUCUUCCUGAUAUUUAUUUGCCCAAGUCUGGAGCUAUUUCAAGUCUACAUUGGGGCUGAUGUUGUGGUACAGCCACCUGUGACACCAGAAUCCCGGGUUGAAGCAACCUGGUUUGAGGCCUGGCUGCUCUACUUCCGAUCUUUUUCUGCUAAUGCACCUGGGAAAGCAGCGGAGGAUGGCCCAAUGCCUGGGCCCCUGCACCCACGAGGGAGACCCGAAUGGAGUUCCUGGCUCCUGGGUUCGCCCCAGCACAGCCCCAGCUGUUGCUGCCAUUUGGGGAAUCAACCAGCAUAAGGGAUCUCUCAUCACGGUCUAAUUUGCAUUGUUCCAGGUCCUGAGCAUCGUUUCCCGUGAUUAUUUGGUAUCCGUGUGUCUUCUUGGGCACUGACACUGUGGCAAAAGGUCUGCUCAAAUCUUAUUUUUUUUUUAAGAAUUGUGUUGUUUUCUUUUUU